AGACAUUGAGUCUUCUAGUCGUUGAUUUCACACUGCCGAGAAAAGCCUCUAGAUAGAAAAUAGGUGCCCGUACCGCAAACCGACACAGGUAGUCAAGAUGAGAAUUCUAAGGUGAGCGAGCGAACUCUCGUUAAGGAACUCGGCAAAAUGACCCCGUAACUUCGGGAGAAGGGGUGCUCUUUAGGGUUAACGCCCAGAAGAGCCGCAGUGAAUAGGCCCAAGCGACUGUUUAUCAAAAACACAGGUCUCUGCUAAACCGUAAGGUGAUGUAUAGGGGCUGACGCCUGCCCGGUGCUGGAAGGUUAAGAGGAGUGGUUAGCUUCUGCGAAGCUAC
rnacentral:rRNA from 1 species